rnacentral:lncRNA from 1 species
CUAUUCUUGAAUUAAAUUCUGUCAUUACUUGAUUACAUUUUGUGUGUGCCAGCACUCCUGCACUCUGGCCAAAUAUUGAUUCUAUGAAUCUGCUUUUGUUUUUAAUGGUAAUAUGGAGUCAAACAUAAUAUAACUAAUCUAGACGUGGUUCAACUUAUUUGAGAUAUUUAGAGAGUAAAUUGGCUUGGACGCUUUUAAAGAUUAUGAUUAAUGCAAAGUAAGAAACCUUGUUCAAGAUUGGUGAUAACUAGUUAAGAACGAAGAAUAGGAUUGAUGGAACGGUUGAACAUUAUGCUUCUUUGGAAUUGUGGCAGGGAUUUCGAUAUGUUGCAUCUGGUCCCAUGGUUAGGUCAUCAUACAAGGCGGGUGAAUUCUAUAUUAAAUCCAUGAUAGAAUCAGAUCGUGCUGCAUCUUCUUCCUAGAAUUCAGUAAUCAGGUGAUUGAUCAUCUUUAUACCAACAAGUCGAUGCUCAUAGAAGACAUACGGAAAUGUUACAUUGCUUCAUCAGUUGACCUUUAUUCACUUCAAGAGGCUUUAUCUUCCACACUAGAAUCAAGAUUUGUGCUCCAAUUAAUGUAUUAACUUGUCCUAAAGAGUCACCUGCUAAAGUAUUUGCACAUUCAAACGAUGAUAUUGCUUAUCUAUUCAAUUUUUUAUUUAUUUUUUGGCUGUACAUCAACUCUGAUGUAAAUUUGUAAUUAUAUCUUGGCAGAUUCCCAUCUGCUGCCUUCAUGAAAUAAAAAGCUUCUGGUUUCUUAUGUUUCUUAAUGACUCAGAGA